GACGAACGCUGGCGGCGUGCUUAACACAUGCAAGUCGAACGGAAAGGCCCUGCUUUUGUGGGGUGCUCGAGUGGCGAACGGGUGAGUAACACGUGAGUAACCUGCCCUUGACUUUGGGAUAACUUCAGGAAACUGGGGCUAAUACCAGAUAGGAGCUCCUGCUGCAUGGUGGGGGUUGGAAAGUUUCGGCGGUUGGGGAUGGACUCGCGGCUUAUCAGCUUGUUGGUGGGGUAGUGGCUUACCAAGGCUUUGACGGGUAGCCGGCCUGAGAGGGUGACCGGCCACAUUGGGACUGAGAUACGGCCCAGACUCCUACGGGAGGCAGCAGUGGGGAAUAGUGCACAAUGGGCGGAAGCCUGAUGCAGCAACGCCGCGUGCGGGAUGACAGCCUUCGGGUUGUAAACCGCUUUCGCCUGUGACGAAGAGUGAGUGACGGUAAUGGGUAAAGAAGCACCGGCUAACUACGUG
rnacentral:rRNA from 1 species